rnacentral:rRNA from 1 species
GACAUAGGUGGCAAACGUUGUCCGGAUUUAUUGGGCGUAAAGAGCUCGUAGGUGGUUCGGUAAGUCGGAUGUGAAAUCUCCAGGCUCAACCUGGAGGGGUCAUUCGAUACUGCCGUGACUAGAGUUCGGUAGGGGAGUGUGGAAUUCCUGGUGGAGCGGUGAAAUGCGCAGAUAUCAGGAGGAACACCCGUAGCGAAGGCGGCACUCUGGGACGGUACUGACGCUGAGACGCGAAAGCGUGGGGAGCGAACAGG